AUUGAACGCUGGCGGCAGGCUUAACACAUGCAAGUCGAGCGGGGUGAUGGUGCUUGCACUAUCACUUAGCGGCGGACGGGUGAGUAAUGCUUAGGAAUCUGCCUAUUAGUGGGGGACAACAUCUCGAAAGGGAUGAUAAUACCGCAUACGUCCUACGGGAGAAAGCAGGGGAUCACUUGUGACCUUGCGCUAAUAGAGGAGCCUAAGUCGGAUUAGCUAGUUGGUGGGGUAAAGGCCUACCAAGGCGACGAUCUGUAGCGGGUCUGAGAGGAUGGUCCGACACACUGGGACUGAGACACGGCCCAGCCUCCCGCGGGAGGCAGCAGUGAGGAAUAUUGGACAAAGGGGGGAACCCUGAUCCAACCAUGGCGCGUGUGUGAAGAAGGCCUUAUGGUUGUAAAGCACUUUAAGCGAGGAGGAGGCUCUUUUGGUUAAGACCCUAGAUGAGUGGACGUUACUCGCAGAAUAAGCACCGGCUAACUCUGUGCCAGCCGCCGCCGUAA
rnacentral:rRNA from 1 species